CCUACGGGAGGCAGCAGUAGGGAAUGUUCGUCAAUGGGCGCAAGCCUGAACGAGCAAUGCCGCGUGAAGGAGGAAGGUCUUCGGAUCGUAAAGUUCUGUUGAAGGGGAAAAAGAGCGGAGAGAGGAAAUGGUCUCCGAUUGAUAUUACCCUUAGAGGAAGUCACGGCUAACUACGGGCCAGCAGCCGCGGUAAUACGUAGGUGGCGAGCGUUAUCCGGAUUGAUUGGGCGAAAAGGGUGGUUAGGCGGUCUGCUAAGUCUGGAGUGAAAGGUACCGGCUCAACCGGUACAGGCUCUGGAAACUGGCGUGCUAGAGGGCAGGAGAGGGCGGUGGAACUCCAUGUGUAGCGGUAAAAUGCGUAGAUAUAUGGAAGAACACCAGUUGCGAAGGCGGCCGCCUGGCCUGUUACUGACGCUGAGGCACGAAAGCGUGGGGAGCAAAUAGGAUUAGAUACCCGAGUAGUC
rnacentral:rRNA from 1 species